rfam:Cochliobolus sativus ND90Pr unplaced genomic scaffold COCSAscaffold_12, whole genome shotgun sequence.
UUACAAGAUGACAAAGAGCGAUUGCUCUAUAAUCCCAGCUCUCUGAUGGCCCAUUAACGCUGGGCCGUUCUGAAGUGACGUCCUUUUCUGAUAU